CGAAGGGGGCUAGCGUUGCUCGGAAUUACUGGGCGUAAAGGGCGCGUAGGCGGUCAUUUUAGUCAGGCGUGAAAUUCCCCGGGGCUUAACCUGGGGGACUGCGCUUGAUACUGGGGUGACUAGAGGGUGGAAGAGGGUCGUGGAAUUCCCAGUGUAGAGGUGAAAUUCGUAGAUAUUGGGAAGAACACCGGUGGCGAAGGCGGCGACCUGGUCCAUUACUGACGCUGAGGCGCGACAGCGUGGGGAGCAAACAGGAUU
rnacentral:rRNA from 1 species